GACGAACGCUGGCGGCGUGCUUAACACAUGCAAGUCGAACGGAAAGGCCCUGCUUGCAGGGUACUCGAGUGGCGAACGGGUGAGUAACACGUGGGUGAUCUGCCCUGCACUUCGGGAUAAGCCUGGGAAACUGGGUCUAAUACCGGAUAGGAGCCAUUUUUAGUGUGAUGGUUGGAAAGUUUUUUCGGUGUAGGAUGAGCUCGCGGCCUAUCAGCUUGUUGGUGGGGUAAUGGCCUACCAAGGCGGCGACGGGUAGUCGGCCUGAGAGGGUGGACGGCCACAUUGGGACUGAGAUACGGCCCAGACUCCUACGGGAGGCAGCAGUGGGGAAUAUUGCACAAUGGGCGCAAGCCUGAUGCAGCGACGCCGCGUGGGGGAUGACGGCCUUCGGGUUGUAAACUCCUUUCGCUAGGGACGAAGCUUUUGUGACGGUACCUAGAUAAGAAGCACCGGCUAACUACGUG
rnacentral:rRNA from 1 species